rnacentral:misc_RNA from 1 species
AACACCGAAAGGAGAUGAUUGCUGUCAAACGUCGUGAAAGAAUCCUGCGAAGGGGAGUUGAUCUUGAGAAAAUAAAUACGGUAAAAUGAAAAGUUUGUAGACUGAUUGAACUGGCAUCCUUUCAAUUGCGCAUAUAUCAACCAUUGCCGUACUUACAUACGAGCAUUAAUUAUUUGGAACAUGAAGUGGCCAAAAUCUAUUCCUGAGAUCUGUUAUAGUUUACUAUGGUUGGAAUGUUAGUAAUUCUGCCAAAAAAAUGUUAUGGAACAUUGAUACUUCAUAUUCUGUGUAAAUCAAAUACACACACAAACAUACACAUGAGCAUUAAUUAUUUGGAAUAUGAAGAGGCCUAGAUCUAUUCCUGAGAUCUGUUCAUAGUUUACCAUGGUUGCAAUCUUAGUAAUUCUGCCAAAAAAUAUUAUGGAACAUUGAUACUCUAUAUUCCAUAUAAAUCAAAUUGAAUGCUUUUUUGUGCUCUUUUAUGAGGCAA